rnacentral:rRNA from 1 species
AAUAGAUACCCCGGUAGUCCUAGCCGUAAACGAUGGACACUAGGUGUUGGUGGUAUCAACCCCACCAGUGCCGAAGCUAACGCAUUAAGUGUCCCGCCUGGGGAGUACGGCCGCAAGGCUAAAACUCAAAGGAAUUGACGGGGCCCCGCACAAGCAGCGGAGCGUGGGGUUUAAUUCGAUGCAACGCGAAGAACCUUACCAGGGCUUGACAUGACCAGGAAUCCGGCGGAAACGUCGGCGCCCCGCAAGGGGCCUGGCCACAGGUGUUGCAUGGCUGUCGUCAGCUCGUGUCGUGAGGUGUUGGGUUAAGUCCCGCAACGAGCGCAACCCCUACCGUGUGUUGUAUCACUCACACGGGACUGCCGAGAGAAACUCGGAGGAAGGCGGGGAUGACGUCAAGUCAGCAUGGCCCUUACGUCCUGGGCUGCACCCACGCUACAAUGGCCGGUACAACGGGCUGCGAAACCGCGAGGUGGAGCAAAUCCCUUAAAGCCGGUCUCAGUUCGGAUUGUAGGCUGCAACUCGCCUACAUGAAGCCGGAGUUGCUAGUAACCG